CAAGCGUUGUUCGGAAUUACUGGGCGUAAAGGGCUCGUAGGUGGCCCACUAAGUCAGACGUGAAAUCCCUCAGCUUAACUGGGGAACUGCGUCUGAUACUGGAUGGCUUGAGUUUGGGAGAGGGAUGCGGAAUUCCAGGUGUAGCGGUGAAAUGCGUAGAUAUCUGGAGGAACACCGGUGGCGAAGGCGGCAUCCUGGACCAACACUGACACUGAUGAGCGAAAGCCAGGGGAGCAAACGGG
rnacentral:rRNA from 1 species